GGCGUGAUAGCUUAGUUGGUUAGAGCAUCGGCUUCAUAAUUCGAAGGUUGGGGGUUCGAAUCUCCCUCACGCUA
rnacentral:tRNA from 1 species